UACGGAGGGUGCAAGCGUUAUCCGGAUUCACUGGGUUUAAAGGGUGCGUAGGUGGUUUUGUAAGUCAGUGGUGAAAGCCCGGAGCUCAACUCCGGAACUGCCAUUGAUACUGCUUAACUUGAAUCAACUUGAGGUGGAUGGAAUAUUACAUGUAGCGGUGAAAUGCUUAGAUAUGUAAUAGAACACCGAUUGCGAAGGCAGUUCACUAAGGUUGUAUUGACACUGAGGCACGAAAGCGUGGGGAGCAAACAGG
rnacentral:rRNA from 1 species